GACGAACGCUGGCGGCAUGCUUAACACAUGCAAGUCGAACGCUGAAGCCCUUUCGGGGGUGGAUGAGUGGCGAACGGGUGAGUAACACGUGGGUAAUCUGCCCUGUACUUCGGGAUAAGCCUUGGAAACGGGGUCUAAUACCGGAUAGGACCUGUCCUCGCAUGGGGGUGGGUGGAAAGUUCCGGCGGUCUGGGAUGAGCCCGCGGCCUAUCAGCUUGUUGGUGGGGUAGUGGCCUACCAAGGCGACGACGGGUAGCCGGCCUGAGAGGGUGACCGGUCACACUGGGACUGAGACAUGGCCCAGACUCCUACGGGAGGCAGCAGUGGAGAAUCUUACGCAAUGGGCGAAAGCCUGACGCAGCAACGCCGCGUGGGGGAUGACGGCCUUCGGGUUGUAAACCUCUUUCGACAUCGACGAAGGGGCCCUGUUGUGGGGUUUUGACGGUAGGUGUAGAAGAAGCACCGGCUAACUACGUGCCAGCCGCCGCCGUAA
rnacentral:rRNA from 1 species